GUUUUCCCCUUCGGGGGACAAAGUGACAGGUGGUGCAUGGUUGUCGUCAGCUCGUGUCGUGAGAUGUUGGGUUAAGUCCCGCAACGAGCGCAACCCUUAAGCUUAGUUGCCAUCAUUAAGUUGGGCACUCUAGGUUGACUGCCGGUGACAAACCGGAGGAAGGUGGGGAUGACGUCAAAUCAUCAUGCCCCUUAUGAUUUGGGCUACACACGUGCUACAAUGGAUAAUACAAAGGGCAGCGAACCCGCGAGGUCAAGCAAAUCCCAUAAAAUUAUUCUCAGUUCGGAUUGUAGUCUGCAACUCGACUACAUGAAGCUGGAAUCGCUAGUAAUCGUAGAUCAGCAUGCUACGGUGAAUACGUUCCCGGGUCUUGUACACACCGAAA
rnacentral:rRNA from 1 species